rnacentral:rRNA from 1 species
UGAACGCUAGCGGCAGGCUUAACACAUGCAAGUCGAGGGGUAGAGGCUUUCGGGCCUUGAGACCGGCGCACGGGUGCGUAACGCGUAUGCAAUCUGCCUUGUACAAAGGGAUAGCCCAGAGAAAUUUGGAUUAAUACCUUAUAGUAUAUAAUUAGGACAUCCUUAUUAUAUUAAAGAUUUAUCGGUACAAGAUGAGCAUGCGUCCCAUUAGCUAGUUGGUGUGGUAACGGCAUACCAAGGCUAUGAUGGGUAGGGGUCCUGAGAGGGAGAUCCCCCACACUGGUACUGAGACACGGACCAGACUCCUACGGGAGGCAGCAGUGAGGAAUAUUGGACAAUGAGCGCAAGCCUGAUCCAGCCAUGCCGCGUGCAGGAUGAAGCAUCUAUGGUGUGUAAACUGCUUUUAUACAGGAAGAAACCCUGGCUCGUGAGCCAGAUUGACGGUACUGUAGGAAUAAGGAUCGGCUAACUCCGUG